UUUCCUGGGCAGACAGUCCCAGACGCCCCUUCGGGAGGGGAGGAACAGGCCCAGAGGGGUUAAGCAGCUCGUACCAGGUCAAGUAGGCGGAGCCGUGUGGAACCAGGCUCUGAACCCCAAACCACGCCGCUUCUCAGGGCACAAAGCGUGAUGCAUAGUUCGGUGACAUUAAAUACAUUCGCAACAUUGUUCAACCAUCAUCACCAUCCAUUUCUGGAACUUUCUUCAUCAUCCCAAACAGCAGCAACUCUAGAAGGUUUUAAGCAGUAAAUAAAAGUUGGCCUCACCAGUCGGACUCCGCGGGUUGGAGCAUUAUCCCAUAUCCGAAAGCAGUGAGGAAAUAUCCUGGGUAAGGAUUAAGCAAAAAACUCCAGGAAGUUUUAUUUUGCUGGUAAUUGUUAGCGAGGAACUCCAAGGAACAUUCGUGGAACACCUACUGUGUGCAGAGCCCAGGCUGGGGCCACCAGCAUGGACAGCAUUCUGCUGCAGGCCUCCAGGUGAAGAUGGCCCCACGCACGGUCACUCAAACUGUUCGUUCAGGUGGGCUUGUCGGACUUCCCACCUAAACGUACAGGCCGCCUGGGGAGACUGGAAUGUCAGUGAGACAACAGAUGAAAACACUGAGGCCCAGAGAACGGGAUGUAUUCGCCCAGGCCACACGGUGAGGGCGCGUCUGGCCCUACAGCCAAGAGAUGUUAGAGACGAAAGAAGGAAUCGUGAACAGCUACAAUCUGUAAGCACCUGCGUGGCCAGGCUCUGUGUUAGCACCUUUCCUUGUAGAAUUUCACUGAAUUAAUAUCCUGCCCGAAACAUGGAUUGUCAGCCCAUGUUACGGAGUGGGAAACCGAGGCAGAAGUGGGGCCUAUCCCAUGAGGUAGAGCCAGGAUUGGAACCCAGUUCAGCCCAGGA